rnacentral:lncRNA from 1 species
AUUUUUUAAACUUCAGAUAAACUAAUGUAUUUGGAACUCUUGAAAUGACUAUAAAUUUGUCAUCCAUCCCCACCCUGAUAAUUUUGAAAAAUUGACCUCAACAUUAUGAACUCUUAAAAUUUUAAUAUUUUUAUUAGCAGACUGCAUUCGGAGUGAGUUUAGAAUAGUAUUAACUUUUAUUUGGUAUUUGAUGAACGUGCAAAGAAUGGAAUUUAGACUUAAAUUAAUAAGAAUCCAUGCAACUUUUUUUACAAAAGAAGAGGUUCAUUUGGCUGGUCUAUAAUUUAUAAUUGAGUUGAUAGGGUUUAAAACCAUUUUUUUGUUGGUAUAAUGACACUAUGAACGUAGAGUUUACAAAGAGAUUCUAUAUGAGAUACAACAACAUAGCAUAUUUGUAUCUUAUAUAAAAUAUUUAUAACGAUAAAUAAUAUAGAACAACUUAUACUAAAUUCAUUCAGAAAAUGUUGAAUUCAACCAUAUAUUUAAACAUAUAUUGUGAUCAUAUAGCUAUGUAAAAAGGUAGUUAUGGCGGGAAGGAGUAGCUGGAAAGGAAAGAAUAGCUGAGUCUAGGACUAUUGUCCAUAUCAAGCUAAUAGAGAGGAUCAAUAUGUAAAUAUUACUUGGUAAAUAAAAUUGUAUAGUUACCCAAAAAAAAUACAAUAUAUUGCGUUUAGUUUUACCCCCAUUGCCAUUUUUCAAUAAUUUGUAUUAGUUUUAUAUUGAUUAAAGUGAUGCACACAUGUAAUGCACGUACACUAAAAUUAGUUGGCAUGAAAAAGGUGUAGCAGCAGGUUGCACAAAAGUAAAAGUUGGAGGCCGCACCAGGCACCUUCCACAAACUCUCAAAAUCUAUAUUUUGAUCAUUACAAAUCCAGUGUAAUCUCACAAGUGCAGUCCGGGGAAGGUAGUAUGUACGCAGCUUAUCCCUACCUUAUGAAAGUAGAAAAGUUGUUUCCGAUAGACUCUCGGCUUGAAAAAAACAUGGAAAGAAAAAAUCUAUGUUUUUAACAACAAAUCCAGUGUAAUCUCACAAGUGUAGUCCGAGAAAGGUAGUUUGUACGCAGCUUAUCCCUACCUUAUGAAGGUAGAGAAGUUGUUUCCGAUAGACUCUCGGCUUGAAAAAAACAUGGAAAGAAAAAAUCUAUGUUUUUAUCAAGAACUUCAAAUUAUCUAUUAAGGCACUUUCAUAUGGCCUUCCCUAAAAUCUUGAUAGUACCAACAUGUCCAAAUCACAUCAUGGCUUACCAAAAAGUUAACCUAUAAAUGAUCAGCAUGACAACCAUUUCCCAAAUAAUGAUACAUAGCAUAUAAUCUGACCAAAUUUGGUAAAGGCACCAAAAAUUGGAAUGGAUAUAAUAUUCUUCAUCAUCUACAACACCUCAAGAAAUGAUUUUCAAAUAGGAAAAAGAACAUGAAGUAUAAUUUCGUUAUCAAACAGGAAGAAGAACAUGAAGUAUAAUUUCGUUAUUGCACAAGAUGGAAUGCAGUGUGGGGGAAUAAGUAAGUAUAAAGCCACUAAUAACCCCUAAUCUGGUGUAGAAACUGGAAGCUAUUAUAUGUCAGGAAAUCUCGUACUAUACAACAUACCGUAUAUUAGCAAUGAAAUCAGAAAGUUCCACUCAAACAUG